GUUUUUAUGGUGUAAAUUAAACAUAUAAUCCUUUCAAGAUUAGGCUAAUAGAUUAUUUAAAAACA
rnacentral:tRNA from 1 species